rnacentral:rRNA from 1 species
CCCUUAGAUGUCCGGGGCCGCACGCGCGCUACACUGAAGGAAUCAGCGUGGCUUUCUCCCUGACCCGAAAGGGUUGGGAAACCCGUUGAAUCUCCUUCGUGAUAGGGAUUGGGGCUUGAAAUUGUUCCCCAUGAACGAGGAAUUCCCAGUAAGCGCGAGUCAUAAGCUCGCGUUGAUUAAGUCCCUGCCCUUUGUACACACCGCCCGUCGCUACUACCGAUUGAACGGUUUAGUGAGGGCCUCGGAUUGGUCUCGGCCCGCUCUUUACCGGGCGGCGCCGUUGGUCGAGAAGACGCUCGAACUUGAUCGUUUAGAGGAAGUAAAAGUCGUAACA